rnacentral:tRNA from 1 species
AAGGGUGUAGCUCAGUGGUAGAGUGUGUGCUUAGCAUGCAUGGGGGCCUGGGUUCAAUCCCCAGUCCCUCUC